ACUCCUACGGGAGGCAGCAGUGGGGAAUAUUGCACAAUGGGCGCAAGCCUGAUGCAGCCAUGCCGCGUGUGUGAAGAAGGCCUCGGUUGUAAAGCACUUUCUAGCGAGGAGGAAGGGUUCGAGUGUUAAUAGCACUGUUCAUUGACGUUACUCGCAGAAGAAGCACCGGCUAACUCCGUGCCAGCAGCCGCGGUAAUACGGAGGGUGCAAGCGUUAAUCGGAAUUACUGGGCGUAAAGCGCACACAGGCGGUUUGUUAAGUCAGAUGUGAAAUCCCGCGCUUAACGUGGGAACUGCAUUUGAAACUGGCAAGCUAGAGUCUUGUAGAGGGGGGUAGAAUUCCAGGUGUAGCGGUGAAAUGCGUAGAGAUCUGGAGGAAUACCGGUGGCGAAGGCGGCCCCCUGGACAAAGACUGACGCUCAGGUGCGAAAGCGUGGGGAGC
rnacentral:rRNA from 1 species